UACGAAGGGGGCUAGCGUUGUUCGGAAUCACUGGGCGUAAAGGGCGCGUAGGCGGGCUCUUAAGUCGAGGGUGAAAUCCUGUGGCUCAACCUCAGAACGUCCUUCGAUACUGGGAGCCUGGAGUUCGAGAGAGGUUGGUGGAAUUGCGAGUGUAGAGGUGAAAUUCGCAGAGAUGUGGAGGAACACCGAUGGCGAAGGCAGCCUCCUGGGCCAGCACUGACGCUCAUGCACGAAAGCGUGGGGAGCAAACAGG
rnacentral:rRNA from 1 species